rnacentral:rRNA from 1 species
UGGGGAAUAUUGCACAAUGGGCGAAAGCCUGAUGCAGCAACGCCGCGUGAGGGACGACGGCCUUCGGGUUGUAAACCUCUUUUAGCAAGGAAGAAGCGAAAGUGACGGUACUUGCAGAAAAAGCGCCGGCUAACUACGUGCCAGCAGCCGCGGUAAUACGUAGGGCGCAAGCGUUAUCCGGAAUUAUUGGGCGUAAAGAGCUCGUAGGCGGUUUGUCGCGUCUGCUGUGAAAACCCGAGGCUCAACCUCGGGCCUGCAGUGGGUACGGGCAGACUAGAGUGCGGUAGGGGAGAUUGGAACUCCUGGUGUAGCGGUGGAAUGCGCAGAUAUCAGGAAGAACACCGAUGGCGAAGGCAGAUCUCUGGGCCGUAACUGACGCUGAGGAGCGAAAGGGUGGGGAGCAAACAGGCUUAGAUACCCUGGUAGUCCACCCGUAAACGUUGGGAACUAGUUGUGGGUCCAUUCCACGGAUUCCGUGACGCAGCUAACGCAUUAAGUUCCCCGCCUGGGGAGUACGGCCGCAAGGCUAAAACU